rnacentral:lncRNA from 1 species
AUAGAGCUUAGUUCGGCGCUAGAAACAGUAAGAGUUGUUCCAGAUAAGCCAAUACAUGCAAAAUUCUCCAUGGGAACUGUAUCAAUCCGUUUUUUCAUAAGCUGGUAUUUGAUCAUCGUACUAAUGGUGUCAUCGUCUAUUUCGCACGAUAGACGGGAUCAGGCAAAGAAAAUCAAAGAAAUAUUGGAAUCUGUUGCUCCUGACGAAUAUCCCGUGGGAUUCAACUGGUGAUACUUAAGAAUCAGAAUAUGCGUACAAUUUUCCGUGAUCGUCGUGAUCGAUGAGCUCCGACACGAAUAAAAAAGGAAAACAGACAGUAAUGCAUGAUAAUGACGAAUAUA